rnacentral:rRNA from 1 species
GGCGAACGGGUGAGGAACACGUGAAGAAUCUGCCCUCCACUUUGGGAUAACACCGGGAAACCGGUGCUAAUACCGAAUAUUGAAACAUAAGUGGCAUCACUGAGUUUUGAAAGAAUUUCGGUGGAGGAUGACUUCGCGGCCUAUCAGCUAGUUGGUGAGGUAAUGGCUCAUCAAGGCAACGACGGGUAGCCGGCCUGAGAGGGCGACCGGCCACACUGGGACUGAGACACGGCCCAGACUCCUACGGGAGGCAGCAGUGGGGAAUAUUGGGCAAUGGAGGAAACUCUGACCCAGCGACGCCGCGUGCGGGAUGAAGGCCUUCGGGUUGUAAACCGCUUACAGUAGGGAAGAAGCGAAAGUGACGGUACCUACAAAAGAAGCACCGGCUAACUAUGUGCCAGCAGCCGCGGUAAUACAUAGGGUGCAAGCGUUGUCCGGAAUUAUUGGGCGUAAAGAGCUCGUAGGUCGUUUGUUACGUCGGAUGUGAAAACCUGAGGCUCAACCUCAGGCCUGCAUUCGAUACGGGCAAACUAGAGUUUGGUAGGGGAGACUGGAAUUCCUGGUGUAGCGGUGGAAUGCGCAGAUAUCAGGAGGAACACCAAUGGCGAAGGCAGGUCUCUGGGCCAAUACUGACACUGAGGAGCGAAAGUCUGGGGAGCGAACAGGAUU